GUAAACUACCGCUACAGUUACGGAAUCUUUGUGCUGCUCGAUGGUAAACGAGUAGACGAGCCGAUGCUUCCGAGGUACCCAGUGCGCCAGAAAUGAAACACCCAGGUGCCAGAGGUCCUCGAGGUUAUAGUAGCGGUGUCCGAACGACGGUUCGAUGACCCAGGUGGUAAAGGAAUUGUAUACGGUGUCACCGAUACCCCAAAUACAGCCAGCAGAGUCAUUGUUCGCAGUGUAACCGAUACCCUCUGGCUCCAAGAACAGGCUGAUCUUCUACCUGUACCUCUGUCCGCAUAAUUGCCCCGCUCUUUGCGCACCUUGCCCUUUGUAUUGCGAUUCGUCGAGCCGUUGUCGCGAUUUACCCGUCGCACGGUGCGGCCACGACGGGACGGAUUUGCUCGUGUAAUGGGACAAAAGAAAGUAAACGAACUGCGAGGGCAGUAACAGUUCCUAUUAACCCUCGAAUACUAAGUGCUCGAUCGAGGACAGAAAAACAAUGAAGAAAUGUUCGUACAAACGUGUCUCCCAUCCGACCUCGUUCCCGAGGUGCAAUAAUUUUCGUACUCCAGGAAUAAGCAGUCGUUUACCUUCGCAGGUAUACGAAGUAACCGCAAAUACAGACUCGCAGGAGUCUUAUGGAAAUUACCAGUAUUUCGAACAUUCCAGGUACUAGGACUGUUUCAUCGCUGAAUCGAAGAAUAGUCGUGUUAUUGGCAUCGCUUCAACUACGUUUCCACAAAGCUCCAAAUAUCGUCGGCUGCGCCGGUUGCGGGACUUCCCCAAGAGAGGGUUGCCUGUCGUUUACCCGGACAUUUUGAAUUUUCCAAUUCGUAACGCUGCGAAGAGAAAAGCCAAUCGAAUUCGCGAAGCAGUCCCGCGUAAAAUGUUGCGACUAUGAAACACGAUACGACCGGCUGGUGUGGAGUGGGUAUGGUACUGCGUUCUCGAAUGUUUGCCAGCGUAUGAGACAAAGCGAGAAGAAGCGAGCAACCGUGGACGAGGGAGAGAAAGAGAAGGGUGCGAGCAUAGGGAGGGUGAAGUUUGGUCUAAAGAUUACGAGGCGCGACAUCUGGCGCCACACGCACAUUUAAAAGCUCCCGCGUACGUGUAGCUGGACGAUGGCUGAGAAUCGCUCGCGACAAUUUGUCCAUUCCGCCUUCGCGUUUUCUAGUUCUCGAAGAAUAGAAGUAGAUUUGUCUUAAGACCAAAAUGAUUUGUAAUAAUAAUUUUAUAUAAACGCGAGCUUUAGAAAUUGAUUCUUCAAACCAAGGAUCCCUGGGUUACAAGGUACGUAGACAAUCAACGAUACAGUUAAUAGAUCGUGGAAUUGAAAAACUUGUAACUAGACUACUUAAAAAUAUUAAUAGUAAUUCUUCAUAUACAGCAAGUGUCCUUGGGGUUCAGGAUGUGUCUCGAAUUCGAUAGAAGAUCGAAGCCUUCGCUUAUACAUCGAAUCCCGCACGAGCAUGUUCGAACACGAGGGCAUGAGCGUGCAACCGCGCGUAACCCGCGAUACUUGGUCCAUUUCUAUUCCACCCGCGAAACACCUGGCGAUAGACCUGGUUACCCGAGCGAAACAAAGAAUUAGCGACGCUGGGAAAGGUAAAUGCGCGCGCAUACGCUCAGAUUCUAGACGUAGACUUAGACUCGUUCGCCGAUCUGAAACGCGAUCGUUUAUAAUGACUGUGAGACACGGAAGCGAAAUUCAAAGCUAUUACUGAUAUACAUUUUCGACAUAGAUAGCUCCAUAAUUCCUAUGAUCAUUUCAACUGUUGGCUCUCAAUAAUAAUAUUUGAAGGCUGUCGAAGCACGAGUUGGAAAGAAUAGAUUCGAGAUGGAAAUUUUGGUCGAAUGAGUCGGAGGGCAAUCGCGACCGUGUCUCGCGAAACAAGGACGCGUCGCACGCCACGCGCCAUGCGACAUACGACGUCGCGGCGCCGACGCCCAGCUGGCAUUUUCACCGGAAUUCUGCUCACGUCAGGGCUGUUGCUUAAACCGUUUUGCUUCGAACAAUUUUGUUUCCUCGCGUACUUGUUUCACAGCUUACUGUCACAGCUCGUAUGUUAUUCGAAAUUCGAGAUUGAAGCGCUUGCUGCUCGAGAAUCGGGAAAAUCGGUAAAAGCUGAGGCAAAACGUGCAAUGUCGGUGCACGGUGGAAAAUCAAGAUGCGUUCCACGUUUCCCUCUACGCUCGAUUUGGCUGGUUUCGUCUCCUUUUCCCGGCUUCCACGGAACGUUCUAAUUUCGUGCCGGACACGUGCCCGGAUGGAAACAGAUGUAUACCUCUCGCGCGUCAUAUAAAUACAUCGGUGCUCUACUCGCUCUUGGUGCUUGACUAACCGGCUCACAGCCGAAUAUCCCCGACAGGGAAUCGUUGCACGAGUCGACAAGCCGUGCCUUCGAAUCGAUAUAAAGUUACUGGCUGGCGCCAGCUUGACUGCGAGAUUCCAGAGCAACUUCAAUCCCGACGCUGCGCUUUUACACCGAUGUUAGCGACACUUAUUCGGCCAAUACGUAACGAUUGAAACGCAUGGAAAUUUACGAUUAAUCGUUUGUUCUUUGCGAAACAUUUCAUUUUAUACCUCGAUAACUGUAACUAAUACGAUUUUUGCUGAAGCUGCUGUCAAGAGGGAUUUCAAACUGUCCUUUAAGAGCAGUUGUGGAUUUAACACCCGUUGAACACGAAUGCCGAUCAAUGAUAAAAGUAUGGCUUUAAC